GACUUAGUCCUGAUCUUAAAAUCAAUUUUUACUAAACUUAUACAUGCGAGUCUCCGCACCCCGGUGAAACACGCCCUCAGCCUCUAUCCAGAGCUGACUGGAGCCGGUAUCAGGCGCAUCUAUUUGCCAAAGACACCUAACCCCCACCACACCCCUAAGGGCCCUUGCAGCAGUGAUUAACAUUGAGCAUGAGCGAAAGCUUGAUUCAAUUACAGUAAAUAGAGCUGGCAAAGCUAGUGCCAGUCGCCUCGGUUAAACUACAUCAGCCCAAAUUGAUUUUUUUCGGCGUAAAGCGUGAUCAAAUUUAAUUUUACAAUAGAGUUAAAACUUAAUUUUAUUUUAACUAAUAGACUCAGUAACGAAAGUCACUCUACCCCCUUCAAUUGACUCACGAAAACUAGGACCCAAACUGAGAUUAGAGACCCCACUAUGCCUAGUCAUAAACUAUUAUUUACACCACAACCGCCAG
rnacentral:rRNA from 1 species